rnacentral:rRNA from 1 species
AACGAACGCUGGCGGCAGGCCUAACACAUGCAAGUCGAACGCCCCGCAAGGGGAGUGGCAGACGGGUGAGUAACACGUGGGAACCUACCUUGUGGUACGGAACAACCAAGGGAACUUUGGCUAAUACCGUAUGAGCCCGAGAGGGGAAAGAUUUAUCGCCAUAAGAUGGGCCCGCGUCGGAUUAGCUAGUUGGUGAGGUAAUGGCUCACCAAGGCGACGAUCCGUAGCUGGUCUGAGAGGAUGACCAGCCACACUGGGACUGAGACACGGCCCAGACUCCUACGGGAGGCAGCAGUGGGGAAUAUUGGACAAUGGGCGCAAGCCUGAUCCAGCCAUGCCGCGUGUGUGAUGAAGGCCUUAGGGUUGUAAAGCACUUUCGCCGAUGAAGAUAAUGACGGUAGUCGGAGAAGAGGCCCCGGCUAACUUCGUGCCAGCCGCCGCCGUAAGAC